CAAAGCCCACCCCAAGUCACGCGAGCGUCCUGUCGUAUCUAUAAAUACGUUUGCUCCUAGGGUUUGCUUGCUCUGGCCUCGAGUGUGCGACGGAAGAGACGCCGUAUCCGCCUUUGAAGAUUAGAAGGUGAUAUUUUGUGGAGUUAUCUCUUGUUAUUAUCUCUUUCUGGGUCCAUAUAGAAUGAAAAGCUUAACGUGCUAAGAAAAGGGCUGAGGCAAAAAGGGGAGAGCAGAGAUGUGAAUCAGUGGCUCCGAAAUACCUGUAGGUUCUCUGCAGGGUGCCCUGCCUUCACAAAAAGCCCUAAACUAAACAUCAAAAUGGCAUCAUAGUACGGGUUUUGUGCUAAUGUGGGUAGUUUUGGAGUGUAUUUUUGGGUAAUCUUAUGCCUAAUCUUACUCCCCUUAUCUACCCACCAUUGUUUUCGUCAUAAACCCGCCUCCAAACGCCAUUACAUUGUUUUUUUUAAUGGAGAUCUUUCAUCCAACUUGCUCUGUUUUAUUCUUCGAUUUUUGUUAAUUGUUAAAAUUUAAUCCAAGGGGAUCUUUUAUAUCAUAUCGAUUACCUACUGAGACAGUGAAUUACACGAAGAUCAAUACUUUGGAUUAGAUUUUAUUUUGCUAUGCUAAUUUUGGAAAGUAAAGUUACAGUGAACAAGUUUUUUGAACUGGUAAUAAGGAGAUAAUUUGGACUUGUUUCUUCAUAAUCAUUAGAUUUCUAAAAGAGGGGAGAAAUGGAAUGAGUAAUUCGCGAAAAUAAUAAUAAUAAUAAUAAAGAGAAGAAAUUAGGUUCUCGUAAAAGUUAAAAGACCAGAGUGAAAUGGAAUCAUUCUGAGGACUUACAUGCUGGAAAGUUAAAAGGCUCAGAUCAACUGCACUAGCAUUCCCGUCUUGAAAUACAAGUAGUUAUUUCAUACCAAUAGGUCACUGUUGCUGCGGCAAAUUAUGUAGUGAAAGUAAGAACAAGCAGUGAAAUACAAGUUAUUUCAGACUGAUGAAGAACCCUGUAUGGCAAAUAAGUCCGUCUCUAAAACCCAGUUCUCAAUCAUCGUCUGAGAAGUCAAUGGCUGGUCGGUAGGCACCAAAUGCCCAGCUCUUAACACUAUAACAUGGCUCAGAUUUAUCCAACUCUGCACAUAACCAGCAACCUCGCCAUUCACUUUCAAAAACUUCCUCUCAGCGUUCAGAAACUGAUUUAUCCCUUCCCAUUUCAUCGUCCUCACCCAAGCUUCAGUUGACACCACGCCAUCUCUCAAAUCAUAAUGCCCUUGAUACAACAACACUCUGGUGUUUUUCACCAAGUACUCCACCAUGAAUUUAACACUCUUCAUCACAUCCUCGUGUAAUGCAGCCCCAACUGCAUCGCUGCAUUCCCCAAAAGCAAUUGCCUCAUUCGCUUUCAACGCCUUCUUCACCUCUGAGUAACCCAAUAGAGCAGUGACCAAAUCGGUUCUAUAAGGAGUCUUUUUGCUAAAAUCAUAAAGAGUUGCCAAACCAGUCAUGUUUGCAGCAAUCCAGGACUCUGUUUCUUGCUUUUGUUGCCCCGCUCCAGUUCCCAACUCGCACUAGCCUGACUGACUCAUCUUGAGCUCGCUCCAAUUCUUCCUUCUGCCUUUCAUUAAUAAACCCAGAAAAGUAUGCGUUGACGCCGUGAGUGGCGACCUGCGUUUCAGGAUCUGUUAAUCCGUUGCCUAUGGCUACGCCUUUCAAAUUCACAGCAACUUUGUCAGGAGAGACUAGCCCGUUUUUCUUCAAAAUGUAAUACCCAAGUGCGGGAAUAUACUUUCCCGCAUAACUCUCACCUGUGAUAUAAAUUGGGCGGUUUUUGAAAACGGGAUCUAAUUCAAUGAAUCUCGUGAUAGCGGCGUACAGGUGCUGAGCAACAGCUGUUUGAUUUCUUGGAAUCUCUUCAGUUGUAGCUGCCAAACUAAAGCCAGUGCCAAUUGGGCUAUCAAGGAAAAGGAGUCCAA
rnacentral:lncRNA from 1 species